UUUCCGUAGGUGAACCUGCGGAAGGAUCAUUCAUAAUACAGUGUUUUAUGGCACUUUUUAAAAAUCCAUAUCCACCUUGUGUGCAAUGUUAGAUCUCGUCAAUCUUGGCGAGAUUUUUAUACAUCAACUCAUUCUUUAACUAAUUUGUCUGAAAAAUAUUAUGAAUACUUAAUUCAAAAUACAACUUUCAACAACGGAUCUCUUGGCUCUC
rnacentral:misc_RNA from 1 species